rnacentral:lncRNA from 1 species
AAAAACACCGGGAAUGGGGAAAAAUCCAUGGAAAAACACCGGGAAUGGGGAAAAAUCCAUGGGAAACCACCGGGAAUGGGGAGGAUCCGGGGGAAAAACACCGGGAAUGGGGAAAAAUCCAUGGGAAAUGGGGAGAAAACACCGGGAAUGGGGAGGAUCCGGGGGGAAAACACCGGGAAUGGGGAGAAAUCCAUGGGAAAUGGGGAAAAAUCCAUGGGAAUGGGGAAAAAUCCAUGGAAAAAACACCGGGAAUGGGGAAAAAUCCAUGGGAAAUGGGGAAAAACACUGGGAAUGGGGAGGAUCCGGGGGGAAACACCGGGAAUGGGGAAAAAUCCGGGGAAAAAACACCGGGAAUGGGGAGAAAUCCAUGGGAAAUGGGGAAAAAUCCAUGGGAAUGGGGAAAAAUCCGGGGAAAAAACACUGGGAAUGGGGAAAAAUCCAUGGGAAAUGGGGAGAAAACACCGGGAAUGGGGAGGAUCUGGGGGAAAAAACACUGGGAAUGGGGAGAAUCUGGGGAAAAAUCCAUGGGAAUGGGGAAAAAUCCAUGGAAAAAACACCGGGAAUGGGGAAAAACCCAUGGGAAUGGGGAGGAUCUGGGGGAAAAUCCAUGGGAAUGGGGAAAAACCCAUGGGAAUGGGGAGGAUUUGGGGAAAAAACACCGGGAAUGGGGAAAAAUCCAUGGGAAAUGGGGAAAAACCACCGGGAAUGGGGAGGAUUUGGGGAAAAAUCCAUGGGAAAUGGGGAAAAAUCCAUGGGAAUGGGGAGGAUUUGGGGGAAAAUCCAUGGGAAUGGGGAGGAUCUGGGGGAAAAAACAACGGGAAUGGGGAAAAAUCCAUGGGAAAAACCCUCGGGGAAGCCGUCCUGCCGCUCCCAGGGAUCCCCAAAAUCCCGGGAAUCUCCUUCCCCAAAUUCCCAGGUUUUUUCCCCCAAAAUCCCAGGAAUCUCCUUCCCCAAAAUCCCAGGUUUUUCCCCAAAAUCCCAGGCUUUUUCCCCAAAAUCCCAGGUUUUUUCCCCAAAAUCUCAGGUUUUUUCCCCAAAAUCCCAGGAUUUUCCCCACAUUCCCGGGGUUUUUCCGGCACCGUCCACGCGGAUGGACAGCAGCCCGUAACCGGGACCCCGCGCCGCUGCCGGGAGAACACCGUGGGACAAUCCAUGGGAAAAACCCUCGGGGAAGCCGUCCUGCUGCUCCCAGGGAUCCCCAAAAUCCCAGGGAUCCCCAAAAUCCCAGGGAUCGCCAUCCCCAAAAUCCCAGGUUUUUUCCCCAAAAUCCCAGGAUUUUUCCUCAAAAUCUCACGUUUUUUUUCCCCAAAAUUAAAGGUUUUUUUCCCCAAAAUCCCAGGAUUUUUCCUCAAAAUCUCACGGUUUUUUUUCCCAAAAUUAAAGGUUUUUUUCCCUAAAAUCCCAGUGUUUUUCCUCAAAAUCCCAGGGAUGUCUUUCCCUAAAAUCCCAGGAAUCUCCUUCCUCAAAAUCCCGGGUUUUUUCCCCAAAAUCCCAGGUUUUUUCCCCAAAUUCCCAGAAUUUUCCCCAAAAUCCCAGGUUUUUCCCCAAAAUCCCAGGUUUUUCCCCAAAAUCCCAGGUUUUUUCCCCAAAAUCCCAGGUUUUUUCCCCAAAAUCCCAGGUUUUUCCCCCAAAAUUCCCGGUUUUUUCCCCAAAAUCCCAGGGUUUUUCCCCAAAAUCCCAGUUUUUUCCCCCAAAUUCCCAGAAUUUUCCCCAAAAUCCCAGG